rnacentral:rRNA from 1 species
CGAGCGGCAGCACGGAUAGUUUACUAUCUGGUGGCGAGCGGCGGACGGCUGAGUAACGCGUGGGAACGUACCCCAAAGUGAGGAAUAAGCUUCAGAAAUGAAGUCUAAUGCCGCAUAUGCUCUUCGGAGUAAAGCUUUCGAGCGCUUUGGGAGCGGCCCGCGUCCGAUUAGGUAGUUGGUGAGGUAAUGGCUCACCAAGCCGACGAUCGGUAGCUGGUCUGAGAGGAUGAUCAGCCAGACUGGAACUGAGACACGGUCCAGACUCCUACGGGAGGCAGCAGUGAGGAAUCUUCCACAAUGGACGAAAGUCUGAUGGAGCAACUCCGCGUGCAGGAUGAAGGCCUUCGGGUUGUAAACUGCUUUUAUGAGUGAAGAAUAUGACGGUAACUCAUGAAUAAGGGUCGGCUAACUACGUGCCAGCAGCCGCGGUCAUACGUAGGACCCAAGCGUUAUCCGGAGUGACUGGGCGUAAAGAGUUGCGUAGGCGGUUUGUAAAGCGAAUAGUGAAAUCUGGUGGCUCAACCACACAGGCUAUUAUUCGAACUCACAAACUCGAGAGUAGCAGAGGUAACUGGAAUUUCUUGUGUAGGAGUGAAAUCCGUAGAUAUAAGAAGGAACACCAAUGGCGUAGGCAGGUUACUGGGCUAUUUCUGACGCUAAGGCACGAAAGCGUGGGGAGCGAACCGGAUUAGAUACCCGGGUAGUCCACGCCGUAAACGAUGGAUACUAGCUGUUGGAGGUAUCGACCCCUUCAGUAGCGAAGCUAACGC